GCGUCGGUAUCCAAGUGGUUAAAGGAUGGCGGCUGUAAACCGCCCCGCUACAUGCGUUCGAAGGUUCGAAUCCUUCCCGGCGCA
rnacentral:tRNA from 1 species